GACGAACGCUGGCGGCGUGCCUAACACAUGCAAGUCGAACGAAGAAUGUUUUUCGGAAUAUUCUUAGUGGCGGACGGGUGAGUAACGCGUGAACAAUCUGCCCCGUACAAAGGGAUAGCCUCGGGAAACCGGGAUUAAAACCAUAUAACGCUUUAGUACCGCAUGGUAAUAAAGUCAAAUCGAUUAAGAGGUAUGGGAUGAGUUCGCGUCUGAUUAGCUAGUUGGUGAGGUAAGGGCUCACCAAGGCGACGAUCAGUAGCCGGCCUGAGAGGGUGAACGGCCACACUGGAACUGAGACACGGUCCAGACUCCUACGGGAGGCAGCAGUGGGGAAUAUUGCACAAUGGAGGGAACUCUGAUGCAGCGACGCCGCGUGAGUGAAGAAGGUCUUCGGAUCGUAAAACUCUGUCCUUGGUGAAGAAAAGGACGGUAGCCAAGGAGGAAGCCCGGGCUAACUACGUG
rnacentral:rRNA from 1 species